UCUGUCUGUAUUGAUUGCGUUUGAUGCAUCUUAUUGGCUGGUCUGUGUAGCCAUGAUAUACAGUGCACCAAUGAGCGCGAAGUAUUUUGGCAGUCGUGACAUACGAACUACACACUACAGCCUGCUCGCUUCCAACAGCCAACGCCACAGAGGUAAUACGAGAUGGCCCGCACAAAGCCGAUUGCUCGUAAAUUCACCGGAGGAAAGGCUCCACCGGAACAGCUCGCCACCAAGGCGGCUAGGAAGAGCGCGCCCUCUACAGGAGAAGCGGAGAAGCCCAAUCGCGACAGUGCAGUUAUCACACCUUGGAGGGCUGCUGGACCAAGUGGAUUCACAAGAAUCAUGGCUCCAACAAAAGAGAUGUCUCUUGAGACCAAGGAGAGGAUUAUCAAACUUCUUGAAGAAGGUAAAGCUACACGUAUGGUUGCCAAAGAUGUGGGCUGUUCACAGUCAGCUGUAUCCAAAAUCUGGACCAAGUACAAACAGCAUGGCAAGGUUGUAAAAGUUAAGCGUACUGGCAGACCGAGGAAGACAUCCAAAUGUCAUGACAAACAACUAGAGGCCAUAUGUCUUGAAAACAGAAGAUGUACAACAAAACAAAUGAAGAUGAAAUGGGAGGAAGCUGGAGUCAAGGUAUGUGACAGAACUGUGCAAAAUCGCCUAAAGGAAAUGGGAUUUUCAUACAGCAAAGCUAAAAAGGAAACCAUCAUUGACACUUUAACAGAAAAGAACAUGACUGCAAUGGGCUAAGGAGAGGCAAUCAUGGACAAGUGAAUGACUGAAUGAAAGUUAUUUUCAGUGAUGAGUCAAGAAUCUGCAUUGGACAAGGCGAUGAUGCUGGAACUUUUGUUUGGUGCCGUUCCAGUGAGAUUUACAAAGAUGACUGCCUGAAAACAUCAAAGUUCCCUCAGUCCUUGAUGAUAUGGGGCUGCAUGUCAGGCAAUGGCACUGGGGAGAUGGCUGUGGUUAAAAUCUUCAAUAAAUGCACAAGUUUACGUUGAAAUUUUAGACAGCUUUCUUAUCGCUUCAAUUGAAAAUACGUUUGUCAUUUUCCAUCAUGCCACAGAGCUAAAACUGUUAAAGCAUUCCUUGGAGAAAGACUCAUCCACUCAAUGUCAUGGCCUGCAAAUAGCCCAGAUCUCAACCCUAUUGAAAACCUGUGGUGGAAAUUGAAAAAAAUGGUCCUCAGCAAGGCCGACCUGCAAGGAUGACCUGGCAACUGCAAAGAGUUGGCACCAAAUUGAUGAGGAAUACUGUUUGUCAUUCAUCAAGUCCAUCCCUCAGAGACUGCAAGCUGUCAUAAAAGCCAGAGGUGGUGCUACUAAAUACUGGAGAUGUUUUAUUUCUUUAUUUUUUCCAUUAUUCCAUAUAUUUUUCCUCUGAAUGGAGAGAUUCCAUAUAUAUUUCCCUGCACUUGCUCUAUAAAAGGAACAUUUACUGACCACCACAAUGUUUUUUAUUAAUUCUUUUUGUGUUUCUGAAUGCUAAAGAGUUGCACUUUUGAACUAAUUCAUUGUUUUUUGCAAACUUUUAAUCUGAGUUUGUUCCACAUAAUUGUUCUACAUAAUCAAAUGUCUGAGUGAGUGCUCGUCUACGUGAGCAGCGGCAUCAAAAAAUUCAAAGUUGUUCCCUUAUAAAAUCCCGAUUCAUUAUUUUUCGAAUAAGUAUACCUAAACUUAAAAUUCAUAUAGAAUUCUCAGAUUUUACACUAUUUACAUAAAAAUCCUCAAAUGCAGAGAUAAUCACCUAUAUUUUCAGGAUCAAUAGCAAUAUUUAACAUAUGUUUUUGCCCAAAAUAGCUACUAACAUUUUUUUCAACUGCUAAUAAAUCAAUCAAUUUUCAAAUCAGAAACUUAAUACUUGAGGAAAGCAUGCAUAAUCAAUUAUAAAUACUUUAUGAAUAGAUUAUUAAUAAAUUCUAUAUACAAUAACAGCUUAUUAUAGAAUAGAAUAGCCCUUUAUUGUCAUUAUACACUAUAUACUGUUAGCGAAUGAGGCUAGCGGCCACCUGGCAUAAAAGGAGCUUUUCUGGCGAAAAUUCUUGUGAAUAAAUGCUUAAAUCCCUGAAUUCUUUAUAGAUAUGGACGUAAAACAGUCUCGAUUCUUGGUUAAAAGCAAAGAAACUGUGCAGUUAGCGUUUAUUUUUGCGUACAUUGACGAAGUACAGUGCUACUGUGUUAGCGAAUGAGGCUAGCGGCCGCCUGGUGUAAACAGAGCUUUUCUGGUGAAAAUUCGUGUGAAUAAAUACUUAAAUCACUGAAUUCUUGGUUAAAAGUAAACUAUGAGGCUAGUCAGUUACGAAAAUUAGCCGCCUCCAUGUGUAAACAAAGAAAAAUUCAUUUGAAUAAAUGGUUCAAUCACGCAUGCAUGGUACGAAAAAUAUAAUAUUUACCUUGGAUCCUCGAACAAAUCACUCCUAGGACAAUCCUUCCUGUUCGUAUGCGGUACAGCUUUCGUAGUUCAAUCCAUUCAUUUGUAAGUAAAUCCAAGCUUAAAUCCGACGGCGUGUGCCGUCUUCGGCUGCUACCAAAUGAAGCUCGGCCCCCACUGAUAAGGCGUCGCGCAAAGAAUGACGACGUGACAUGUCAAUAGUAAUGAUGUCUAAAGCAUUACAUAGCAUUUAAACUAGCGGACAUUUGCUAUGCAAGUUGGCAAAUUGCUGUAAGCAUUAGCAUUAUAUAGCAUUUAAGCUAGCGGACGUUUGCUAUGCAGGUUAGCCAAUUGCAACAAUGCAACAACAUCUGAAUUAUUGGUGUGAGGUCAUGAUUCCCAUUAUCGGUAACCAGUAUCACGGCUUGGUCAGACACCGCUUUCACGCAUUGAAAUCACUAGACGUCCAAUCGAUUUAAAGUGGGAGGUUUGACAGUGAAGGAACGAAUCCUCAUCCAAUUUCAAAUGGAUUGGUCAUCCAAAAGUGAUAAACUCCUUGGUGGGAGGAUGUCUAGUGGCCAGGGGAAAAACGUUGUUUUUUAUUUUUAUCUCAUUGGCUGCCAUAUAUAGCGCUAGUAUGUAGCUGGCGGCCAUCUUAGGUAGGGCCACCGGAGGUUUGAAUUGCAUCUCGAAGUGAACACAUCGAUUUAUUUUCGUAGUCGAUUAAUCUAUCAACUAGUUGGUUGGAAUAGUCAAGUAAUCAGAUUAGGAAUAUUUAAUGUGUGGCAGAAUAAAUUUUAGGGAUGUAAAACAAAGUAGUACUGCAACGAUUAAUCGAUUAACUUGAGUAUUCGAUUAGAAAAAAAGAUUCAAAUUAAAUUUUGUUGCUUUGAGUAUUUAAUUAAAGUGGCGUUUUUUUUUUUGUUUUUUUUUUAAAUAAAAAAAAAAGUAAGUGGCGUUGUAAUGGUUUAUUGUGAAAGUAUUUGCAUUUAGUUUUAUUGAUUUGGGUGGAUACACUGCCCUCCGGUCUGCCUCUUUUCACAUGGCUGAAUCCAACUGCUCCCUGUUAAGGCAAACGUAAGCUGUUUUUGUUUGAGCUAAUGUUUUUUUUAAUGCAUUCAUAAUUUAGUUUAUAGGUAUAUUUAGUCGUUUUUUUGUGGGAGUUUUUAUGUGGGAAUUUUGCUGCUUCGAGUAUUCGUUUAAUUAAAGUGGUGGUGUAAUGGUUUGUUUUGAAAGUGUUCUCAUUUAGUUUUAUUGAUUUGGGUGGAUACACGGCCCUCUAGUCUACCUCAUUUUCACAUGGCUGAAUCCAUUUGCUCUCUGUUAAGACCAACAUAAGUUUUUUUUUUUUUUUUUAAUGCAUUCGUAAUUUAGUUUAAAAGGUAUGUUUAGCCAUUUAAUUUGAGAAUAUGUGUCUGACCCAUUUGUUAACAGCAUUGUAAAAAAAAUUUGCAUUUUAUAGAAUUUAAGCUAGCGGACAUUUUGGUACGUAAGUUAGCCAGCUGUUCUUUUGUUGUACAUAGAUCCUCAUUUAUUAUUAUUUUUUUUUUAUAGCGUUUGAGGCUCAGCUCAGGUAUUUUAAUUUUUUAUGUUCCUUAUCCGAUUACUCGAUUAUUCGAAUAGAUAGUUUCGAUUAGAUAGUUUCGAUUAAUUGACUACUAAAAUAAUCGAAAGCUGCAGCCCUAAACAAAGGCUUGAGAGAUGCACUGCUGGCCAAAGGUAUUGGCACCCCUGCAAUUCUGUCAGAUCGUGCUGAAUUUCUCCCAGAAAAUGAUUUCAAUUAAAAAUGCUUUGGUAGUAAUAUCUUUAUUUAUUUAGCUUGCAAUGAAAAAAUACAGGAGAUAAUGGAAAAAAAAAAUAAAUUAUUCUCAUUUUACACAAAACUUCAAAAAUGGGCCGGACAAAAGUAUUGGCACCCUUUGAAAAACCAUGUGAUGCUUCUGUAAUUUUUGUAUUCAAGAGCACCUGUUACUUAUCUGUGGCACAUAAAAGGUGGUAGCGAAAACUAAAUCACACUUGUAGCCAGUUAAAAUGGAUUAAAGUUGACUCAACCUCUGUCCUGUGUCCUUGUGUGUACCACAUUGAGCAUGGAGAAAAGAAAGAAGACCCAAGAACUGUCUGAGGACUUGAGAAGCAACAUUGUGAGGAAGCACGGGCAAUCUCAAGGCUACAAGUCCAUCGCCAAAGACCUGAAUGUUCCUGUGUCUACCGUGCGCAGCAUCAUCGUUAAGUGUAAAGCCCACGGCACUGUGGCUAACCUCCCUAGAUGUGGACGGAAAAGAAUAAUUGACGAGAAAUUUCAACGAAAGAUUGCGCGGAUGGUGGAUAAAGAACCUCGACUAACAUCCAAACAAGUUCAAGCUGCCCUGCAGUCUGAGGGUACGACAGUGUCAACCCGUACUAUCCGUCGGCUUCUGAAGGAAAACGGAAUGUAAAAAUUUCGCAAAAUUAUCCACUACAAUAGUGUUUAUGUUAACUCAUUGGCUGCCCAUGGCGGCGCUAGAUAUCCAAUUCGUUUUUCAUAUGGGAGGGGACGAAUGAACAGUCCUCCCAGGUUAAAUGAAUUUGACGUCAAUCGUUGUCUAUGGCAAAAACGAGUUCAGAAACUCAUGUUUACAAAACUGUUGCAAUAAUAUAGUGUUGCAUUGUGUAUUUACAGAAAUGUUGCAUGAAAAGACAAACUUUUUUUUUUACAUUUUUUUCUGACAAAAAUAAACAUUAUUUUCCCAGAAAUAGCUCAUUUUUCUCUUGUUGUAUCGUAGAUAAUCGUUGAUUGAUUUCUGGUCUGUCGGUGUAUAGCUAUUUAUUGUUUAGCCAUAUCAUGUGCCUUAUUGUUGUAUCGCAAUUCGUAUAGGGAAGUACCCAGUUUACCACCCCAAUAUAUAUAUCAUUCAUCAUCUAGCACUAUUUCCCUCCCUCUAUUACAUAUUUCAUUUUCACGACAUUAAAGUGUCGAUGACAGCAAAAAGCAUGUUUAUUUAAUAUUUCACGCGGUAUUUGAUGCAACUGAAUUAAAUGGACUGCUUUGCUUGUAUGUGUGUGGAAGCGAUUUAUUUAUUUUUUUAACCUGUCCUGUUCAGCUGUUUGACACGGAGAAGUCUUAAGUGUCCGGUUGGUCUGAACAGUUUUAAUGUUUCACAUUGCGUAUGACAUACAUAAAUAAGUAUUUAAUCAACCACUAAUUGUGCAAGUUCUCCGACUUGAAAAUAUUAGAGAGGCCUGUAAUUGUCAACAUGGGUAAACUUCAACCAUGAGAGACAGAAUGGGGAAAAAAAAAAAACCCAGAAAAUCACAUUGUUUGAUUUUUAAAGAAUUUGUUUGCAAAUCAUGGUGGAAAAUAAGUAUUUGGUCAAAACCUAAAGUUCAUCUCAAUACUUUGUUAUGUACCCCUUGUUGGCAAUAACGGAGGCCAAACGUUUUCUGUAACUCUUCACAAGCUUUUCACACACUGUUGCUGGUAUUUUGGCGUAUUCCUCCAUGCAGAUCUCCUCUACAGCAGCGAUGUUUUGGGGCUGUCCUUGGGCAACACGGACUCGCGUUAACGGGCGGUAAUU